rnacentral:rRNA from 1 species
UGGGGGAUAUUGCACAAUGGGCGCAAGCCUGAUGCAGCGACGCCGCGUGAGGGAUGACGGCUUUCGGGUUGUAAACCUCUUUCGACACGGAACAAGGCUCUGCUUUUGUGGGGUUGAGGGUACGUGUAUAAGAAGCGCCGGCUAACUACGUGCCAGCAGCCGCGGUAAUACGUAGGGCGCGAGCGUUGUCCGGAAUUAUUGGGCGUAAAGAGCUCGUAGGCGGCUUGUCGCGUCUGCUGUGAAAAUGCGGGGCUUAACUCCGCACGUGCAGUGGGUACGGGCAGGCUAGAGUGCGGUAGGGGUGACUGGAAUUCCUGGUGUAGCGGUGGAAUGCGCAGAUAUCAGGAGGAACACCGAUGGCGAAGGCAGGUCACUGGGCCGUUACUGACGCUGAGGAGCGAAAGCAUGGGGAGCGAACAGG